rnacentral:rRNA from 1 species
UGGGGAAUUUUGGACAAUGGGCGCAAGCCUGAUCCAGCCAUACCGCGUGAGUGAAGAAGGCCUUCGGGUUGUAAAGCUCUUUCAGACGGAAAGAAACGGUUACGGCUAAUACCCGUGACUAAUGACGGUACCGUAAGAAGAAGCACCGGCUAACUACGUGCCAGCAGCCGCGGUAAUACGUAGGGUGCGAGCGUUAAUCGGAAUUACUGGGCGUAAAGCGUGCGCAGGCGGUUUGGUAAGACAGAUGUGAAAUCCCCGGGCUUAACCUGGGAACUGCAUUUGUGACUGCCAGACUAGAGUGUAGCAGAGGGGGGUAGAAUUCCACGUGUAGCAGUGAAAUGCGUAGAUAUGUGGAGGAAUACCGAUGGCGAAGGCAGCCCCC